rfam:Callipepla squamata strain Texas jcf7180005221811, whole genome shotgun sequence.
GUGCUCACUUCAGCAGCACAUAUACUAAAAUUGGAACAAUACAGAGAAGAUUAGCACGGCCCCUAUGCAACAAUGACACACAAAUUCAUGAAGCGUUCCAUAUAUGU